rnacentral:rRNA from 1 species
CUACGGGGGGCUGCAGUGGGGAAUAUUGCACAAUGGGCGCAAGCCUGAUGCAGCAACGCCGCGUGAAGGAUGAAGGCCUUCGGGUCGUAAACUUCUGUCCUUGGGGAAGAAACAAAUGACGGUACCCAUGGAGGAAGCCCCGGCUAACUACGUGCCAGCAGCCGCGGUAAUACGUAGGGGGCAAGCGGUUAUCCGGAAUUAUUGGGCGUAAAGAGUGCGUAGGUGGUUACCUAAGCGCAGGGUUUAAGGCAAUGGCUCAACUAUUGUUCGCCCUGUGAACUGGGCUACUUGAGUGCAGGAGAGGAAAGCGGAAUUCCUAGUGUAGCGGUGAUAUGCGUAGAUAUUAGGAGGAACACCAGUGGCGAAGGCGGCUUUCUGGACUGUUACUGACACUGAGGCACGAAAGCGUGGGGAGCAAACAGGAUUAGAUACCCCGGUAGUC